rnacentral:rRNA from 1 species
AUUGAACGCUGGCGGCAGGCCUAACACAUGCAAGUCGAGCGAGCGGCGGAGGGGUGAGUAAUGUGUGAGACUCUGCCAGAUAGGGGGGGAACACUAGUGAAAGCGGUGGCUAAUCGCGCAUACUCUCGGAUGCACACAUAGGGGAUUAGCGAGUAGGUGGGGUAAAGGCUCACCUAGGAGAAGAUCCCUAGCUGGUCUGAGAGGAUGAUCAGCCACACUGGGACUGAGACACGGUCCAGACUCCUACGGGAGGCAGCAGUGGGGAAUAUUGCACAAUGGGCGCAAGCCUGAUGCAGCGAUGCCGCGUGUAUGAAGAAGGCCUUCGGGUUGUAAAGUACUUUCAGCGAGGAGGCGUUACCCGCAGAAGAAGCACCGGCUAACUCCGUGCCAGCAGCCGCGGUAAUUC